rnacentral:rRNA from 1 species
CGCGUAGGUGGUUUGUUAAGUCGGAUGUGAAAGCCCUGGGCUCAACCUGGGAAUUGCAUUCGAUACUGGCAAACUAGAGUAUGGUAGAGGGAAGUGGAAUUCCAGGUGUAGCGGUGAAAUGCGUAGAUAUCUGGAGGAACAUCAGUGGCGAAGGCGACUUCCUGGACCAAUACUGACACUGAGGUGCGAAAGCGUGGGUAGCAAACA